rnacentral:rRNA from 1 species
GACGAACGCUGGCGGCGUGCUUAACACAUGCAAGUCGAACGGUAAGGCCCUUCGGGGUACACGAGUGGCGAACGGGUGAGUAACACGUGGGUGAUCUGCCCUGCACUUCGGGAUAAGCCUGGGAAACUGGGUCUAAUACCGGAUAGGACCCUGGGAUGCAUGUCCUGGGGUGGAAAGCUCUUGCGGUGUGGGAUGGGCCCGCGGCCUAUCAGCUUGUUGGUGGGGUGAUGGCCUACCAAGGCGACGACGGGUAGCCGGCCUGAGAGGGUGACCGGCCACACUGGGACUGAGAUACGGCCCAGACUCCUACGGGAGGCAGCAGUGGGGAAUAUUGCACAAUGGGCGCAAGCCUGAUGCAGCGACGCCGCGUGAGGGAUGACGGCCUGCGGGUUGUAAACCUCUUUCAGCACCGACGAAGCGCAAGUGACGGUAGGUGCAGAAGAAGGACCGGCCAACUACGUGCCAGCCGCCGCGGUAA